GAUGAACGCUGGCAGAAUGCUUAACACAUGCAAGUCUUUGGCGAAUCUGUGCUUGCACAGGCUAGCCAAGGCGGACGGGUGAGUAACGCGUAAAGAACUUGCCCUGCAGACAGGGAUAACAGACGGAAACGACUGAUAACACCUGAUACAGUUGCCGGCACGCAUGUGCCUGGCAAUGAAAAGAGAUGCUGCAGGAGAGCUUUGCGUCCUAUUAGCUUGUUGGUGAGGUGACGGCUCACCAAGGCGAUGAUAGGUAGCCGGCCUGAGAGGGUGAACGGCCACAAGGGGACUGAGAUACGGCCCUUACUCCUACGGGAGGCAGCAGUGGGGAAUAUUGGACAAUGGGGGCAACCCUAAUCCAGCAAUUCUGUGUGCACGAAGAAGGUUUUCGGAUUGUAAAGUGCUUUCAGCAGGGAAGAAGAAAGUGACGGUACCUGCAGAAGAAGCGACGGCUAAAUACGUG
rnacentral:rRNA from 1 species